rnacentral:sRNA from 1 species
UCAACAACGGAUCUCUUGGCUCUCGCAUCGAUGAAGAACGCAGCGAAAUGCGAUACGUAAUGUGAAUUGCAGAAUUCAGUGAAUCAUCGAGUCUUUGAACGCACAUUGCGCCCCUUGGUAUUCCGGGGGGCAUGCCUGUCCGAGCGUCAUUGCUGCCCUCAAGCACGGCUUGUGUGUUGGGCCCCGUCCUCCUUCCCGGGGGACGGGCCCGAAAGGCAGCGGCGGCACCGCGUCCGGUCCUCGAGCGUAUGGGGCUUUGUCACCCGCUCUUGUAGGCCCGGCCGGCGCUUGCCGACAACCAUCAAUCCUUUUUCAGGUUGACCUCGGAUCAGGUAGGGAUACCCGCUGAACUUAA